UUAAGGGGUUCAGCUGUGAUGUUUGAUUUAAGGGGUUCAGCUGUGAUGCUUUUGAUUUAAGGGGUUCAGCUGUUGGUGAUGUUUUUGAUUAAAGGGGUUCAGCUGUGAUGUUUGAUGUUUUUGAUUUAAGGGGUUCAGUUGUUGGUGGUGUUUUUGAUUUAAGGGGUUCAGCUGGGGAUGCUUUCGAUUUAAAAGGUUCAGUUGUUGGGGAUGUUUUUGAUUUAAGGGGUUCAGUUGUUGGGGAUGUUUUUGAUUUAAGGGUUUAGUUGUUGGUG